AUUCUUUCACAGAGGCAAUAUCGUAGCCUAUGAGGUUCAUCCGAGGUGCGAUCAUUGCUGGUUGUAAAUUUUAAGUGGCAGUCAUGGCCUAAUGGUUAGAGAGUCAGCCUUGUAACCCAAAAGUCGCGGGUUUGUGUCUCAGUACCGGCAGGGAUUUUUGGUAAAGGAAAUGAGGCGCUCUCUU
ensembl:snRNA U4 U4 spliceosomal RNA